GAUCACACGGGGCGACCCGCUG
rnacentral:rRNA from 1 species